rnacentral:rRNA from 1 species
CUUCUGAUGGCGACCGGCGCACGGGUGCGUAACGCGUAUGCAACCUACCCGUAACAGGGGGAUAACACUGAGAAAUCGGUACUAAUACCGCAUAACACUAUGAGAGGCAUCUCUUGUGGUCGAAAGUUUCGGCGGUUACAGAUGGGCAUGCGUUGUAUUAGCUGGUUGGUAAGGUAACGGCUUACCAAGGCGACGAUACAUAGGGGGACUGAGAGGUUAACCCCCCACAUUGGUACUGAGACACGGACCAAACUCCUACGGGAGGCAGCAG